AAUUAGUCUAUGUUUAAUACUCCUAAUUAGUAUCUAAACAUUCGAUUUGAUGUGACAGGAAUUUUAGAAGGUUCUAAUGAACCAAACCUCCCCUUAACUUCCAAAUGAGUUUUUUUUCUGGUGGACCGUACUUACCAUAUAUUUUGCGGGAACUUCAAUGCUUCCAUAUUACCGUAACACUUCAGUGAUUUUCUUUGUUUUUGGGAGAAAACUUUACUUUUAGUUUUCUUACAUCUUGUCACUUUAUUACUUUUGUCUGUUACUCUUAGUUUGCAGCAGCUAUAUCAGCUCAUUGGUUUCAGGUUUACUCAGAGAAAACUUGAGAAAAGCUGGUGAAUCCAUGAAUUUCUUAAUGGUGAUGUUGAUAAUCAUGAUAUUUCCACUUCGAUUCCUGGAGCAAGCUAGGAAAAAAGAUUAUACGAGUGAGAGGGCAAGCUAGUAUGAAGUAUGAACAAACAGUGAAUGAGAAAAGGAGGGAGGUUCUGAGGAUGCUGCAUUCAAAUGAUCAGAUAGGUGCAGGUGCAACAGUACUGACCGAUGUCACAUUUGGGUGUCGUUAUUGCUCUCACCAUCCCAGCAUUGCUGGAGAAAUCGAAGCUAUAUUGCCACAUUCUUCUAGGGCGCUUUAGUGGAUGUUCAGGCAUGCGAGCGACCAUGCAAAGAGUUGAACAGGGCACUGGGAAAAGGAGAGGCUCUAUUGAUAAUGGAUAUGCAUAUGCUGUAAUUCACCGAAAUCUUUAUCAUGUGAGUUAACUCACGACUCUGUUUUUGCUCUCUUCCUAUCCAAAAUUUUGCCGUGUACACUAGGCUGUCUUUCGAGGCUAAACAAU